GACGAACCGUGCGAACGUUAUUCGGAAUCAUUGGGCUUAAAGGGCGCGUAGGCGGCGGCGUAAGUUGGAAGUGAAAUCCCAUCGGCUCAACCGUGGAAUUGCUCCCAGUACUGCGUCGCUCGAGGGGAUAGGGGUCUGCGGAACUACCGGUGGAGCGGUGAAAUGCGUUGAUAUUCACAGGAACUCCGGUGGCGAAGGCGGCUCGCUGGACCUUUCUGACUGCUGAGGCACGAAAGGCGUGGG
rnacentral:rRNA from 1 species